UGUGGUUUAAUUCGAUGCAACGCGAAGAACCUUACCUGGUCUUGACAUCCACGGAAGUUUUCAGAGAGUGAGAAUGUGCCUUCGGGAACCGUGAGACAGGUGCUGCAUGGCUGUCGUCAGCUCGUGUUGUGAAAUGUUCGGGUUAAGUCCCGCAACGAGCCGCAACCCUUAUCCUUUGUUGCCAGCGGUCCGGCCGGGAACUCAAAGGAGACUGCCAGUGAUAAACUGGAGGAAGGUGGGAUGACGUCAAGUCAUCAUGGCCCUUACGACCAGGGCUACACACGUGCUACAAUGGCGCAUACAAAGAGAAGCGACCUCGCGAGAGCAAGCGGACCUCAAUAAAGUGCGUCGUAGUCCGGAUUGGAGUCUGCAACUCGACUCCAUGAAGUCGGAAUCGCUAGUAAUCGUGGAUCAGAAUGCCACGGUGAAUACGUUCCCGGGCCUU
rnacentral:rRNA from 1 species